CGAGCCGGGGGGUGGUUCGCGCUGUGCUGCUCGGCCGCGCUGCGGUACCGACCCGGUCCGGCGACCGGCCCCGCUCCACGGCGGGCAGCCCGAUAGGCACAGGGAGCGAGGACCGGGAGCUGGAUGGCGGUGUGGAGGCCUGAGGCGAAGGCUAAGCCUGCCCCUCCCCGGGCCGCCUUCAGCGAGCUUCGGCGCGGGUCUCCGCGUUGAGAGAAGUGAUGAGUCAGGUUUGCUCGGCUCCAUGCUAAUGCACGGAGAUGGAGGGUGUAAUUAGUAGAGAGGCAGGGCUGUGAUCUGCAGCGCGGGGCGGCCGGGCCACGCACCUCCUCUGUGCUUCAGAGCGUCGCUGAAGUUCUCCUUGUUUCGUGCUCCUCCAGCCCCAACGGUGUAUAUGCAGGGUUUGGUGGGAGCAGAGCCACAGACGUCGGAAGGUGUCUGUGUGUGAAGCACCCCGCGUUAUGUAAUUCUGAUGUUGAAAGAUGACGGUAAGAAGGAUUUGAUUUAGUCAUGGAAACUGAAUAUUGCGGCUCCCCAAAUCUCUAAGAAGUCUUAGGAUGUUGCAUACAGCGUUCUCAAGGUUUCUCCCGUCCAAGUAAUUGUAAAUGGCCCGCUUGAGAGCUGUGAUCUGCUUUAUAUGCUUUCAUCCAUUAGAAUACCUCUUGUCUUUGCAAAACGACACAUUGUGUAAUUUAGGCAACUGGCUGGGCUAAGAAGGGCACAAUGAAGUGAGUAAUUUACAUCUCUUAGGGAGAUUAAUUGAACCCAGCUCUGGUCGUCUUCAAGAACUACUGAGAAGUUUCUCGGCAAACUUCUCCACCCGAAGUAAAAUCACAGCCUCCGCCACCUUGCCCCUUCCAGCAGCUUCUGAAGGAAUCUUCACCUCAAACAGAGCUGUCAGCAGCAGUGAGGGCUGCCACUCACCAGUCAUUUCAAUGCGGAAAGCACUCGAGACACAGCAACAGGCAACAGAACGCAGCGCUCACAGAGAAACAAAUUGACAAGUACCCACGACUGGACAUCCUCAGAAACACGGUUGUGUCCUGUUCCUCUCCACUGCAGUUAUUCCCACUCAGAGUGACCACUUCAGAGCUUUAACAAAGCCCAUUACAAACGGGAACAUUUUCCGUUAGCCAAUUCCUGUCCAGUUACUGAAUGGUAAAGGAAAGCAGAAUCCUGAAGUUAUGAGAUGUGAAUCCUGUGAACAAAUGCUGGUGAGUCCAGGAUUUGAGGUCUGCACAACAGCUGCUGACUCAUCAGGAUUUUGUCACUUCCCUGAAGAUGUUGCUGAGUGUUGGCUUUGGAUCUCAGGUGUCCCUCAUUAAGAACUGCCUAUUUUGCCUCAAACCCUCUUGUGGCAGCCAGGCUGCUGAGGAGCCAAGAGUUCAAAAGCUGAAGGGCUAAAAAGAGGGCAAGCAAGAGGGAGCUUUGGUUCAGUUGUGUGCCUGGCCAGCCUUUUUUUUUUUUUUUUUUUUUGCACAGAUGUCUUUGUCUUGCUGGAAAAAAAGUUCUCAAGCAGCAGAACUUGUCUGUUCAUAUUUUGCAAAUGAAACACAUGGUACGGCAUGAUGCCAUGUUAAAGAUGGAGCUGAUCAGUGAAAUUAGCUUCCGUUACUCACUGGCAAUGGUAUGGCUUUCAUUAUUUUCACAACAAAUACAAAACUCAGCAGCCUUUAGGAUAUGGCACAUAAUUAAUGUCCAUUUCCCAUUGAAGCCCCCCAAGAUAUGACUCUAAGUACAUUGGAAGAUGAGGCUGAAUUGUAACACAGUUUUAUUCUUUGUUUCUGGACAAAGAAGGCUGAAGUGAUGAAACAUUUGCAUCUGUUUUAAACUUGGCUUAUUUCAUUUUUAAUUUUUUUUUUUUUUAAUCCCACUGCAUUAUUUUUCUGACGGCUACACCCUGAAAAAACAGGUUGUCAGUGCAAGCAGGGUUUUCUCAGAAGGUACCCACAAGAAGCAAUUAGACGUGUGAGCAAAGGCAGUCAGCACAUGGGAUCCUCCCCAGCGAAACAGGCUCAGCGCUGAAGGCUCGUCUGCAUGGCAUGUUUCUUCUUUCAUCGAACACCAGCAAAAUGCCAGGAACAUUCCUGGACAGGAGAAAUCUUGAAUUCUGCAAUUCAGCCUUAAAGAAACACUCCUCUGGGGAACUGCCCAACUGCCUGAUGGAAAUGAGUGACUCCUGUAUGCAGAUCUGCCUUCGAAGACUCUGACCUAUUUCAGCCCAGCUUUGCAGAACACACAAGCUCUAUUUAUGAUGCUGCAGGAAGGGAAAGGCAGGGUGCAAGCAAUGCACCUUGCUCUGCUGGGAAAGAGCUGGCAGCCCCAGCUCCAGCAGUGAAGCCCCGCAUCAGGAGAUGGUGGGACCUGGCUCCUGUUGGGGCAAUGAGUAACAUCAUCACAUCUGACUGAACCUCUGGCAUGUAGACUUGACUACUUACUCUUGCUGCAGAAGCAUUUAUAUUGACACAGAUUCAGGAAGAUGCUGCACAGCAGAAUCAGGGAAACAACUGUUUUAUAAGCAGAGUGAUGCCUUCAUACAGCACAACAGUGUGAUCUGCGAUGGAAAACAUAACAGGACUGUAUUCCACAGCAAGGUCAUGUUUUGAGAAUUUUAUUCGUCCUCAUUUCUAUUAAAGUGUCUUUUUACAGGGAGAAAUAACUUCUUUUAGUUAUGCUGUAUUGCUCUUGAAACUUAACCUUCCUCUAGCUGGGCUCUAUAAAUCACGGAUUUUCUUAUAAACAGAUUACAGAUCC
ensembl:lncRNA